GCUCAAUAUGAGAGUGUCCCUUCGGGUACAACGAUACAGAGAAGAUUAACAUGAUCCUUGUGAAAGGAUGACACGCACAAAUCGAGAAUUGGUCCAAUAUCUU
rnacentral:snRNA from 1 species